GGUGGAGAUUUGUAGACGUAAGUCGGAGUUGGUGGUGGUGGAGAUUUGUAGACGUAGGUUGGAGUUGGUGGUGGUGGAGAUUUGUAGACGUAGGUUGGAGCCGGUGGUGGUGGUGACUUGUAGUAGUAAACGGGAGAUGGUGGUGGUGGAGAUUUGUAAUAGUAAGGAGGAUGGUAAGGAGCCGGUUUGUGACAUUCUCCGUAAGGUUUCUUUGGUGCAUAAGCAAAGGACUUAGCAAUAAGUACAACUUCGUCCUUUGUCUUGGAUUUCACGUGAAGUUUAGCACCCUUGUUACCCCAAUGGUAAUCUGUGGGAAUGUUACAUGGCGAGCCCUUCGGUGGUGCAUGAAGCUUGGCCGUGCAGACAUCGCCACCGUAUUUACGGUAGUUGUAUCCUUUAACGGUGAUUGCGUAUUUACCGUUGUUCUUGGUCUUACCGUAUGCCUUAACCGUCUUGUCACCGGCCUUACAAGUCACUUCCACAACAGCACCUAAAUGACAAAAACAAAUUAUGUUAAAUCUAAAAUAUUAUUUCCCGUCCGUAUAGUUGGUAUCCACAAAGUCGAUUUUGCUUGUUCGAUCUCUUUGGAUUGCUUAAGUCAAUAACAGAUUCUUGUCUUUUUCUUGACUUAAUCGUUUUCUUUUCUCCACUAAAUAAAUAAUCUAUACUACAUGCAACCACCACUUUACAAUACAUAUAUAUGCUACUUAUUUAAAUGCUACAAGCCUAAUUAAUCAUCCUAUAAUCAUCAAAUAUAACAUAUAUUAAAUCUAGUUAACUAAGGAAUUUGAUAAGAUUAAAAAAAUUUACCUUCGAGAUGCUUCUUGUCAUGAGACUUUUUGGGGUGAGUCCAGUCAUAACAUCUGUAACAAUACACUUUACCAACAACUUUGAAGACAAGUGGAUGUGGGUGUGGGUGAGGAUGAGGGUAUGACACCGGAGGAGGUGGUGAUGAGUAGUAGUACGGUGGCGAGUAUGACUUUGGUGGUGGUGGUGGUGAUGAGUAUACGUACGGUGGAGGGUAUGAUUUUGGCGGUGGUGGCGAUGAGUAUACGUAUGGUGGAGGGUACGAUUUUGGUGGUGGUGGCGAUGAGUAUACGUAUGGUGGGGGAGGGUACGAUUUUGGUGG
rnacentral:lncRNA from 1 species